rnacentral:rRNA from 1 species
AUUGAACGCUGGCGGCAUGCCUAACACAUGCAAGUCGAACGGCAGCGCGUUUGGGGUAACCCAAAUGGCGGCGAGUGGCGGACGGGUGAGUAAUAUGUAGGAAUCUGCCCAGAGAUAAGGGAGAACUUAGGGAAACUUAAGCUAAUACCAUAUAAGUCCGAGAGGAGAAAGCAGGGGAAGGACAGGACUUGCGUCUUUGGAUGAGCCUACAUCGGAUUAGCGUGUUGGUGAGGUAAAGGCACACCAAGGAGACGCUCCGUAGCUGGUCUGAGAGGGUGACCAGCCACACUGGGACUGAGACACGGCCCAGACUCCUACGGGAGGCAGCAGUGGGGAAUAUUGGACAAUGGGGGAAACCCUGAUCCAGCAAUGCCGCGUGUGUGAAGAAGGCCUUCGGGUUGUAAAGCACUUUCAGUUGGGAGGAAGGGGUGAGCACUAAUACUGUUCAUCAUUGACGUUACCGACGGAAGAAGCACCGGCUAACUCUGUGCCAGCAGCCGCCGUAA